CACGGGAGGUAAUCAGGGGACCAUCCCCUCUAUAUAAGCCCACCUUGAUGGGUUAUACCACCCAGGAUGGUUGAAGAAGCUCAGCCAGUAGGAUAUAUAGCCCUCCCAGAUCUGGCCGGCUGCUUCCGCGCGCCUUCCUUCGUCCCCAAUUCGGGAAAGCCGACGACGAUAUGAAGAGUCUGGGUAACAUCGUUUGGUUCCUAUAUCUCUCUCCGAUCCCCCUUUUAGUGCUCUCUCUUCGUGUCGAGUUCUUUGUUGCGGCUGCUUGGCCCUUUGCAGCUCGUCGAGGAUGGCGCUGGACAUGGUGGUGAUGUUGUGGCUGACAGAAGAGAGUGAGCACACAGCGGGCCAGACUGCAUCUGAAUACGGCUGCUUCAAAGACGACGGGGCAUGGAUAGAUGCAGCUGCUGUUGCGUGCUCACUUCUCUCUGUCAGCUCUCUCUCCUCCUCGGGACUUGUUCCGCCGCAUCCAUCUCCCCCCUCGGCCCCCCUGCGGCACCGCUGCGUCGUAGUCGUGCAGACGUUCUCGCAUCGGUCGCCGUGGCCGUCUUGGCACUGUUCGUCCUGAGGCGCCUGCCGGCCUUGCCGUGUCCCCACCUGCAACCUUAUCUCCUCCUCGGAUUUCAGGAAGCGCCGCGCGCAUGCACGCCAUGGAUCCUCGCGCCGCCCGCGUUUCUUUUCUCGGCGAGGUUGUCGUUGCUGUCUUUGUGGCUUCCGAUGAUGGAUUAUUAGCAGGGGCCUUCAGCCUUGGGGGAGGAGGACGCGUGAUGGUUUGAUUAACACCUGGCUUUGCUCGCCUCCCCAGGUGUGCUUAACGGAAAGCACUGUUUGACUAGUCCUUGCUACCCCUUCUCCCUCCUCUCUCACUUAUCUACUCUUUUCUCUUCCUUUCCGUAAAGAUAUCACAGCAAAAACUGGAUCUUUUUGCCCUGUUGUUUUGCUCAUCUCAUGUGGUGCUCUGAGUGUUGGGAAGUAGGUGGAGCCGUGGAGGCAGCCAUGAAGACGGUGGUCGGAGGCAGAUCUGCGAGGUGGCGAGGUGCAAGUGGAAAGAGAGGCGGGCACCUACCGCCGCCGCCGGCGACUACCAGAUCUGGAAAUAAUAUUUCUUCCCCGGCCGGCGAGUCCAUGCUUCUUCCUCUCUCGUCCUAGUUUCUACUAAAGUGUGUGCAUGCCUCCUCCUACCUGAUCUAUUUGUGGUAUUGUGCUUAUAUUGUUACUUGCCUUGUUUUAGAGUUUUUUCGUGGAUGAUUGAUUUCGUCUCUGAGGGCGAUUGGGGAUUUUGCAUCUCAUGGCGCAUUCAUACGUGUGUUAUGAGCUAGCUAAGAGUUUCUUGUUGUCAAUUCGAUUUUCAGUCAUGAAAUUGUUUGUCUCUGGUGUUCAGUUUAUCUCUUGCAUGUGUGUUGUUCUUAAUUCGAGUUAACCGGUGUCAAUCUUCCAGAUAAUAUAGGCUUAGUUAACCUUAGGUUCUAGCUUAUCUACUCUGAUGCCCACCUAAUCUGCUUAAUUUAUGGCCUGUUUUUAUCAGUCCUUUGUAUGAUCUCCCAUCUGGGAAAUUCGUUGUAGUACAGUGCAACACAUGGUCGUUUUAUUGUAUGCAGAAUUGAGGGCUUGUUGAACCCAUUGAUUGGAACAAUCAACUCCUAGGAUUUCAUACUACUAUAUGCAAUACUACUUCCUUUACUUGCAAGCAUGUAUUAUUUUUUCAGUGCUUUAUAUAUCAUUUGUUGUAUCCUUCAACUCUGCGCCGGCCAUCUCCAUUUAUUUCCACUCUAGUGUAAAACUAUAGUCGGGGUCCUCCAAGCUGUUGCUGCAUGCUACCACAAUGCUAUUGUAAUUCAUUAGUUUAAGUACAGAAAUUGCUGCUAGCCUCAAAAUAUAUUUAUUUAAAUGUAUCAUUUGCAUGCACUUCUGUGUGUGAUGCAAGUGCAAAACCUGUAGUUUGUUGCUGUAUGCAUGACACAUUGUGUUUAAGAUGUCGCUCAUUAUUUUUUUACUGAUGAAGUUUCAGCUAGCAACAGCAAAGAUAUAUUUUUUACCUUGGUCAUAUAAAAUUAAACGGAAGUUAAUAAACCCCACAUAUAAGGAUCACUGCUUACUUUCAGUUUUAAUUGUAUGUUAUAUUGGCAUAUAUAUUUGAACACCAUAAACUGGAAAAAGAUAAAAUUUGGAUGGAGCUUAUGAUGCUUGUGGUUAUAUAAGGCUUUACAAAUUUUCUUGACAAUAUCUAACAGAUUAAGUUUCUAAUAAUGGCGUUGUGGGCACUCUAGCUUCUAACAGUUUUCUAUCAAAAUUAACCAGUGUCCAUAUUAGUUCCUCUUGCAACUGUAGCAUUGCAUUAAAUUAUUCCAUUCUGAGAGUUAAGUAGUAGUGACAAAUUCCUUAGCAGAACAAGGAGAUAAGGUGCUGGUUGCAGCCUCUGCUCCUGAAUCUGAUUGAAAUCUCAAUUAUAAAAAUAUGUUUAACUUGCAACAGACACUGGAUCUAGGUAGCUCCAUUUCCCAGUAGAUUUUACAGGGCUUUUGAACAGGAAAAUGCUCAUGUCAAAAGACAAUACAUACGCUGCAAAGUCUAUUUUUAUCAACUUGGAUAUUGAUGUCCAUAUUUACUAAUCAAAUAACCGCCACUUAUUGCACCUUCAUUAUCACCAUACUUGCAGUUCCAGCAAAAUCACCAUUUGCUCCUCCCCGUACCUUUUUACCCUACUAAUUCAUGCAGUGUAUUGUUUAGGUGAUGUUGGCUGAUUUGUACAUUAAUUAUGCAUUUUUGGUUCUUAGCUGGCUUUUGGACAUUAUUUUAUUUGAUAUAAAUAAUGAGCCGUAAUUGAUAUUAACUAACAAAACCAUUCUAUUUUGUUGACUUGUGCCACUCAACUAUUAUGUUUUGAUGCAAAUCAGUCAUCUAAGUCCAAUUUAAUUAUUUGAGGCCCCAUAUCAUCCAUAGCAUAGAUGUUAAUGCAAAUGAGGAUUGUAAAUUAGAUUUUAGAUAGCUGAAAUCAUAUGGAGUCCAAAAAAGUAGAUAAAUAUAAUUAUAAGCUCUAGUCCACCUAACUACUGUGAGAAAAAUCAAACCUAAAAUGAUUCUACAUUCAAUUUUUUGGCACACAUUCAGUAUAACAUAUAUACACGUCAUGGUGGUAAUAUCCUAAAAUGGUAUCUCAAGUUCUUUUUUGUUUGUCAUUUUAGCUUUAUGUGCACUGAUAAGAUAAGGUGCUAUAUGUCCUUCUGUUACAUCAGUUUUUCUCCUCAAUGCCCAUGAUGACUGAAAUGAGCAACAAAAUUGAGCCUUGGAAAUGUAUCAAACAUUGUAUGGAAUAUGUGCAGGUAGCUAUAUUAUAUAUCUUCUUGAAGUCUGCCAAAGGAAAAAAAAACUAAUAACAACCUGCAAAUGACAAAAAGAAAAAGAGCUGAAGUAGUCUUGUUUGUAGGUAAAAUAAAUUAAUAAUCUUGUUGGAUCUUGGUAAAGUUAUGAACUAGAUCCAAGAAGCGCCCAAUGUGGUACUGAUGAAUAGGAUAGAAAGAGCAACAUGAUAUGUACCAAAUGAAGUGUUUGGACCAAACAUGUAAAUAUGAGGUUUUUAACAACUGUGAAAAAGAUAUUUUGGAAUCAGUAUUUUAGUUUGAUUUCCUGGUUGUCUAUAACUUAACUUUAAGCAAAGAGUUAUCUAGAUUAUCCAAAUGGUAAAAAUAGCUCUCUGCCGUCAUAUUUCCUAUUAUGUCAUUUGAAAAUUGUUGAUGGUGUUGGCCCUUUUUUUGUACCAUUUAUGCUAAUAGCAAUCCAAUAUUAUGGCCUCCAACUCUCACUUGGAUCUCUCAUCUGUAUUUUUUUUGCCAUUGUUGUGAUAAUAUUGGUAAUAUUGUGAAAUCAUUAUGUAUCAUAUGUUGGUAUAAGGAUCUUAACAAACACAUUUAAGUUUUAGUCUAUAUGGUACGACGAGCCGCCGAGUAGUGCGCAUGGGAGAAUGCAAGAGCAGCUGGGACUGAGGAAGGAAACGUAGAGUGUAGCGAGAGCAUUGGACGAGCGCCGGCGGAUUGUCUUCGUCACCGGCAAGGACAAGUUCCUCGUCCGUGACCUAAGUCAGCUCGCGCCAAUGAACGGGAGGUCUUUAUUCUUUGAUAAUCUUGAUUACAAGCUAGGUGGUAACCUUUAUAGAUUAGGUCCCGAUCAAGCUAGAUGCUAACAACUUCCUAACAAUGCUGAAACAAACUCCUAACUUCUCCCGUAAAAGCAGCACCUGAAGUCGGCUCUAGCCACGUUGCUGUUGCGACUGUUGCCGUUUGUUGCGGCGCCGAUAGUGCCUGCCAACAAAUGCGUCGACAACAUUUCCUCCCUCCCCGCGGAACAGCUCAUCCUCGAGCUGCCACUGAGCGUAGAGCUUGACAAAAUCCUCCAACAGAUCCCACGUAGGGUCUGCAGCAGGAUGACUCACCCAGUGCACCAGCAGCUGCCACACGCCAUGGUUCAACCUGGCGCAGAUGAUCUUCUCGGGCGUAGGCAGCGGCGGAACUGAUAUCGGCGGCGUGCCCUCAAAUUAAUUUCUUGAGGAGGCCGACGUGGAAGACAUCAUGUAUCUUGGCGUUGUCCGAUAGCUGCAGCCGAUAGGCCACGUUCCCGAUGCACUCCACCACCUGGAAUGGCUCGUAGAAGCGUUGGGCCAGCUUUGUUCGGCGACUGGCCGUGAUGCUGGAUGCCGCCCUGUGAUGCAGGCGCAGCCACGCCCACUUACCCACAAUGAACUCGACGUCGCGCCGGUGUUUGUCAUGCAUCGCCUUCAUGUCAUCUUGUGCAAGGAGGAGACGGUCCCGUAUCUCCUUCAGGAACUUGUCGCGGUCCUGGAGCUAACAGCCACCCGUGCUGACCCUGGUGAGUAGUGAAGUAGCACCGGCAGGGGACGGUCGUAAACGACCUGGAACGGCAUGGCGCGCAGGGCCGUCUGGUAGGACGAGUUGAAGCAAAAAUCGGCCCACAGGAGCCACUGCAGCCAGGAGCAUGGUCGAUCACCUGCCAAACACCGCAAGUACAUGGCGAUCGUACGGUUAGCCACCUCGGAUUGCCCAUCCGUCUGUGGGUGGAACGCAGAGCUCAUCAGCAGCUUGACGCCGGCGAGGCGGAACAACUCAGCUUAGAAGUUGCUGGUGAUGACAAGGUCACGGUCACUGACAAUGGACGUUGGAAACCUGUGGAGGCGCACGAUGUUGGUGAAGAAUGCUCGGGCGACGGACGCGGCAGUGUAGGGGUGGCCGAGCGUGAUGAAGUGCGCGAACUUGGAGAAGCGAUCCACCACCGUGAGGACCACCGACUUGGCCCCCACCUUUGGGAAGCCCUCGACGAAGUCCAUGGAUAUGUCGCUCCAUAUCUCCCGUGGCACCGGGAGGGGCUACAGGAGUCUGGCCGGGUGCAAGUGCUCGAACUUGUUCCGUUGGCACACCACGCAACCCUGGAUUACUUGCUCACGAGUCGAAUAAGGUGGGCGUUGUAGAAGGAUUUCCGCAGCCGGUGCACCGUCUUUUGGACGCCCUCACGGCCCUAUCUCGUGUGCCUCGGCCAGAAGACGUGGCCAAGCGACGAGUCAUCGGGAAUGUAGAUAUUCCCACAAAACAGCAAGAGGCCAUCCGCCGUGGUCCAGGCCGUCGGGCACCGAGCCGGCCGCGACUUGUGCGAGCAGCUCCUGGGCGGCAGGGUUCUCGCCCAAUUCAGCUCGCAGCUCCUCGUACGCCGAGAACGCCGGCAUGAAAACGGCUUGGAUAGCCAGGCCCUCCUCGUUGCGGCGGGACAGCGCAUCUGCCGUCGCAUUUUGCCAGCCCGGCCUGAACUCCACAGCGAUGUCGGAGCCGAACCACUUCGACCCCUAGGUGUGCUGGGGAAUGGAGGUGAGGCGUUGGUCGAGGAUGUACUUGAUGCUCCAAUGGUCGGUGCGGACGGUGAACGGGCGGCCCCAAAGGUACGACCUCCAGUUUCGGACAGCCUUGACCAACCUGAUGAGCUCGUGCUCGAACGCCGGCAGCUUGUCAUGCUGCGGAGCCACCGCACGUCUGAAGAACAUGAACGCCGAUGAAUGGGAUAACUUUAUUCUUCGAUAAUCCUGAUUUCAAGCUAGGUGGUGACCUUUAUAGAUUAGGUCCUGAUCAAGCUAGCUGCUAACAACUUCCUAACAAUGCUGAAACAAACUCCUAACUUCUCCUGUAAAAGCAGCACCGGAAGUCGGCUCUAGCCAUGUUGCUGAUGCAGCUGUUGCCGUUUGUUGCGCCGCCGGUAGUGCCUGCCAACAAACGCGUCGACAACAUAGUAUUCCCUUUAGUUCCAAAUAUACCCUUAGUAAAAGUCAGCGUGCAAUUGUUAGACCUUCAUACAUUUCCCAUAGGUUGUAUCUAAUAGAAAAAAAAGUUAACAGCUUUUGUAGCUGUGUGUGCAACGAGGACACAAGGUCAGUCAUUUUGCUUACUACAAUUUCUCUUGCAAAAUUUUAAUCAUUAUAUAUUUAGAAUUCGAGGUACAUGUAGUUUAACUAGUUGCAUGGUUUGAUUUAAAAACGUUUUGCAUUAACAUUUUUCUAUUUUCAUGACAAUUUGUUGAUCAUGUAGACAGAAACCAAUUAACAAAUUCAACAUAUGGGCUCUAAUAAUUAAGAAUUAGAUAUUGAAGAGCUUGGUUGAGGGUUGAGAAUUUACAGUGCACCCACAAAUAAUGUAAUUAGCAAGAUUUAUUGAGCAUAUGCCUAAGCAAGUUACAUAUAUUUUUAAUGCAGUGUGAAUCAAAAUAUCAAAUUCAGGUUAUGAAGAGUAAAUUUAUUGGAUGGGUAUAAGUAAAGUUGGUGUCAACAUAAAUAAUAUGAUAUGAUAACCAGCUUUCUUUGUCAAAUAUUUCUAUAUAUGCAACAAAAUUUUCACUUCACUCUGUACACACAAGUUACUUCAUAUUUUUGUUAGGGUCUCUCUAGCAUUUAUGUACUCUUGUAUAUAAUUAGAUGAUUAAUAUUUGAAAAAGACAUUUUAUAUAGCUUACUAUCCAUUGUUUAUGGAACAAUAUAGUGUAUAUAGAGAUUGAUCGACAAUAAGUUCAUGUAGUACUAUUGAAGAUGGUAUAAUGUAGUAUAAGAUAAUAAAUUAUAAGAUCAUGUCUAAAUUAGUUUCUCUUUGUGCCUAGUUAUUAUGGGGUGCUUAAGGAGACAAGCUCCUACUGCCUCUGUUGUUUUAGAACUAUUUAGUAGGUAUGUAAUUUUUGUUCUGUUGGCUAAAACAACAUUUAGUACCUUGCAUGUGAUCUAGUACUGUUAAGGUAGCCUAUUAUAUAUAGUUAUAUAUAGAACCUUAUAUGGAUACUGAUCAUACACAUGUAUGACUAAUUUCUAGAACUGACUGACUUGACCAAACAAUUUAUUUUGGAAGGCAUUUUCUAAUUAGCCUUGUAAGAAGGUGAAAUAUUAUUAUUGCUAACAAUUUUCUUGAUAUUGUGCUUUUUGUAUACUAUGAGCGUAAUUAAUCACUAUCGCACUCAAAAAGUCAAUUUAUGAUGUAUUCUGUUUUUGGUUGAUCACAUAUCCCAUAUUGUAAUUUUUUUUAUCAUUUGGGCACAUGGUCAACUACUUAGGUAGGCCGCACUUUUCCAUCUGUGGUCACUCGUGAAUUUAUGGCUAAAGGAAUACAUGAAGCUGGGCAAAUGUAUUUUUAUAUCAGAUAAAAGGAAGGUUUUUUGAUAGCUUGCAUACUGCAUACAUCAUUAAGUAUAUUGUCUGCAAGCAGCAGCCCUCAUAUUAUCACAUAUAUAUUUGUAGGUGCCUUGAAGAUUGCGGACGAAGCAUUUCCUAGUCUGGUAUGGUAUACACCCAAUAUAUAUAUUGUGAGUGUGAACUACGUUCUUUUGCAGGGUUAGGUGGAAGGGUCUGUGUGCCUGGGACCCAGCUGCCUGUGGCGAAAUGCACUUGCUCAAACUGUCAUGUUCCAGGCGCAAGAUGCCAAGACACAUAUACGGACAAACCUGGACAUUUGGAAGAUCCCGCUACAAAUAAAUGUGUUUUCUGCUCCCAAGAGACAGAAUCAUAUUUCAUAUGCAGUGUCAUAAUCUUGCAUAGGAAGCCAUGCAUGAAGAUCAGGAUCGGAGCUUUCAACUCACCUAUUCUUCUAUUAGCAAUGAUGCGAACUGGAAGCAUUUUCUUUUGUUUUCUUUUUGUUUUCAUUGUUGUCACUGCACCGAGAGAACUUCAAUCAUAUUUUUGUGGCUUGUAAAUUGCAAUAUCCUGAAACUGCAAGUCUGCAACCCUUCAAGUUUCUGUUGAAGGAUCAGUGUGCUACAUCAAGGAAUGAAGUUUCAAGUUCAUAUGUUGUUUUGAUUAUGUAAACGUAGCUUUGGAAA